rnacentral:rRNA from 1 species
AGAGUUUGAUCCUGGCUCAGGAUGAACGCUGGCGGCGUGCUUAACACAUGCAAGUCGAACGGAAAGGCUCCUGCUUGCAGGGGUACUCGAGUGGCGAACGGGUGAGUAACACGUGGGUGAUCUGCCCUGCACUUCGGGAUAAGCCUGGGAAACUGGGUCUAAUACCGGAUAGGACGAUGGUUUGGAUGCCAUUGUGGAAAGUUUUUCGGUGUGGGAUGAGCUCGCGGCCUAUCAGCUUGUUGGUGGGGUAAUGGCCUACCAAGGCGUCGACGGGUAGCCGGCCUGAGAGGGUGUACGGCCACAUUGGGACUGAGAUACGGCCCAGACUCCUACGGGAGGCAGCAGUGGGGAAUAUUGCACAAUGGGCGCAAGCCUGAUGCAGCGACGCCGCGUGGGGGAUGACGGCCUUCGGGUUGUAAACUCCUUUCGCUAGGGACGAAGCGUUUUGUGACGGUACCUGGAGAAGAAGCACCGGCUAACUACGUG